UGGGGAAUUGUUCGCAAUGGGCGCAAGCCUGACGACGCAACGCCGCGUGGAGGAUGAAGGUCUUCGGAUUGUAAACUCCUGUUGCCCGGGACGAAUAGCUUCGACCUAAUACGUCGGAGUAUGACGGUACCGGGUGAGGAAGCCCCGGCUAACUCUGUGCCAGCAGCCGCGGUAAUACAGAGGGGGCAAGCGUUGUUCGGAAUUACUGGGCGUAAAGGGCGCGUAGGCGGCCUGUUAAGUCGAACGUGAAAUCCCUGGGCUUAACCCAGGAACUGCGUCCGAUACUGGCUGGCUUGAAUCCGGGAGAGGGAUGCGGAAUUCCAGGUGUAGCGGUGAAAUGCGUAGAUAUCAAGAGAAACACCUGAGGUGAAGACGGGUUGCUGGGCUGACACUGACGCUGAGGCGCGAAAGCCAGGGGAGCAAACGGGAUUAGAUACCCCCGUAGUCCCUGAGCGGGCUGGCAAGGCGCAU
rnacentral:rRNA from 1 species